rnacentral:rRNA from 1 species
AUUGAACGCUGGCGGCAGGCCUAACACAUGCAAGUCGAGCGGAUGCAGGGAGCUUGCUCCUGGAUUCAGCGGCGGACGGGUGAGUCAUGCCUAUGAAUCUGCCUGGUAGUGGGGGAUAACGUCCGGAAACGGGCGCUAAUACCGCAUACGUCCUGAGGGAGAAAGUGGGGGAUCUUCGGACCUCACGCUAUCAGAUGAGCCUAGGUUGGAUUAGCUAGUUGGUGGGGUAAAGGCCUACCAAGGCGACGAUCCGUAACUGGUCUGAGAGGAUGAUCAGUCACACUGGAACUGAGACACGGUACAGACUCCUACGGGAGGCAGCAGUGGGGAAUAUUGGACAAUGGGCGAGAGCCUGAUCCAGGCAUGCCGCGUGUGUGAAGAAGGACUUCGGAUUGGAAAGCACUGUAGGUUGGGAGGAAGGGCAGUAAGUUAAUACCGUGCUGUUUUGACGUUACCAACAGAAUAAGCCCCGGCUAACUUCGUG